UCUCCGUUGGUGAACCAGCGGAGGGAUCAUUACCGUGUUUACAACUCCCAAACCCCUGUGAACAUACCAUUUGUUGCCUCGGCGGUGCCUGCUUCGGCAGCCCGCCAGAGGACCCAAACCCUUGAUUUUAUACAGUAUCUUCUGAGUAAAUGAUUAAAUAAAUCAAAACUUUCAACAACGGAUCUCUUGGCUCUG
rnacentral:misc_RNA from 1 species